ensembl:lncRNA
GCCGUAAUGAAAGGCAGCGCUCAGGAGCGGGGGUAGGAGGGAGCGUGGCCGGGGCUCGUUCUUGCAGCCCUAGCUGGUCUGAAUGGCUCCACACCGUGGAUGACCCCCAUCAGGAGCAAUGAGAAUAGUCCUUAAUAAAUAUUUACAUCCGGAGUUACUCAUGCACAGAGCGUUCCUUUUUCUUUAUUCAGUGUUAGGAGCAGAAGGGUUGAACGCUUGGAUGCUCAGGGGAAGCCCUGAAUGAAGACCGCUCGCGUGCGUUCAUCACAAUGGCCUUAAGUAAAUGCAGCAGUUCCCUACUGAAGCAAGGCAGACGAUGGAGAGCUGCGACGGCAUGCGAUGCUCAUGGUCUCAAGGAAAGGAGGCCUUGUGUGACAGAGGAAACUUCCAACUUAACCACUUUAGAAGCCACCUGGUGCUGUGUCUGGUGUCACUGAAAAUGUGAGUUUGAGCUGGGAUAGGCACCGGGCUUGAGAAGAGGAAGCAGCUGUGCAGUGGAGGCUCACAUCAGCAGAAAGCAUGCGGGUGUUGGGUUGCUGACCAAGGUGGGGGGCAUCUCCAUGGGAGAGAAGCCAAUGUCAGCUGCCUCGUGGUCCUAUGGCCAUCCCAAAGCAUAGCCACAAAUCAGAGAGAAAAAAAUGUAAACUCAGAUUCUACCACUGAAUGCUUUACUGUGAUAGUAUUUGACUUCAAUGGCUUGGUUUAAGCCUUGGCUUCUGAGUUCUUUUUAAGUCACAUGUAUUGCUGGAGCUGGUUUGCAAUAUUUCGAGAGUUUUGCCACUGAAUUCACUGUGGGAAGGAAGGAAUUCCUUUCUUUUUCCACCGUGGAUGAAUUGCUGUGAGAUUGGUCCUCCUUUUCACGGAAGAAGGCUUGCUUCAAAAGACUAAAAAUAUAAAUUGUCUAU